rnacentral:rRNA from 1 species
CGAACGCUGGCGGCGUGCUUAACACAUGCAAGUCGAACGGGACUGAUUGAAAGCUUGCUUUGAAAAGUCUAGUGGCAAACGGGUGAGUAACGCGUAGGCAACCUGCCUCUAAGAUGGGGACAACAGCCCGAAAGGGCUGCUAAUACCGAAUGUUGUGAGUUUUCCGCAUGGAGAAUUCAUUAAAGAUGGCCUCUACUUGUAAGCUAUCACUUAGAGAUGGGCCUGCGUCUGAUUAGCUAGUUGGUGAGGUAACGGCUCACCAAGGCGACGAUCAGUAGCCGGUCUGAGAGGAUGAACGGCCACAUUGGGACUGAGACACGGCCCAGACUCCUACGGGAGGCAGCAGUGGGGAAUCUUCCGCAAUGGGCGAAAGCCUGACGGAGCAACGCCGCGUGAGUGAAAGAAGGUCUUCGGAUCGUAAAGCUCUGUCGAAGGGGACGAACGUAGCGCUUAUCAACAACGAGCGCUAAUGACGGUACCUUUCAAGAAAGCCACGGCUAACUACGUGCCAGCAGCCGC